AACGCACAUUGCGCCCCCUGGUAUUCCGGGGGGGCAUGCCUGUUCGAGCGUCAUUACAACCCUCAGGCUCUGCUUGGCGUUGGGCUCGCCUUCGUCACGAAGGCCUGCCUCAAAAUCAGUGGCGGCCGCCGUCCGACCUUCAGCGCAGUAAUGCUCGUCGCUGGUAGGGAAGGACAGCAGGUGCCGUCAGCACAACCCCCACACACAAGGUUGACCUCGGAUCAGGUAGGGACACCCGCUGAACUUAA
rnacentral:misc_RNA from 1 species